UAUUAAAAAUUUCACCAUUUAUUAUUAUUAAAAACUGACGUAGCUGACAAAAUAAGCAACCAAUUACAUAUGGUGUGCUAUGUGUACCUGAUUUUGACGUAUAAGAACAAUUUUAAAAGUAGAAAUGGAUGAAAUUUUUAACA
rfam:Gossypium hirsutum cultivar TM-1 chromosome 6, whole genome shotgun sequence